GCCUGGGUGGCUUAGUUGGUUGAGCAUCUGACUUUGGCUCAGGCCAUGAUCUCACGGUGCGUGGGUUCGAGCCCCGUGUCAGGCU
rnacentral:tRNA from 1 species